rnacentral:rRNA from 1 species
UCUACCUCAUACUAGGGAAUAGCCCGAAGAAAUUUGGAUUAAUGCCCUAUAGUAUCUUUUUAAGGCAUCUUAUUAAGAUUAAAGGUUACGGUAUGAGAUGAGUAUGCGUUCUAUUAGCUAGUAGGUGUGGUAACGGCACACCUAGGCUACGAUAGAUAGGGGCCCUGAGAGGGGGAUCCCCCACACUGGUACUGAGACACGGACCAGACUCCUACGGGAGGCAGCAGUAAGGAAUAUUGGACAAUGGGCGAAAGCCUGAUCCAGCCAUGCCGCGUGCAGGAUGACUGCCCUAUGGGUUGUAAACUGCUUUUAUAUAGGAAGAAAAAUUUUCUCGUGAGAAAACUUGACGGU